rnacentral:misc_RNA from 1 species
GUUACAAUUAGUGGAAGUAGAUUUGUUGCUGCCUUCAUGGCUUCUUAGCCAUUAGCCUCACAGAUGUAUAUGUGAUGGGUCCAACAGCGAAGCAAAGGAAGUUCAGGGGGAGGAGAAGGCGUCCUCAGGGUCCAGCCACCUGCUGGUUGGUCGAGACCAUGUCUUCACGUUCCGAGCUUGAUGCCAGAGCUUGAAGAGCAUUUCUAACCUUAUUCAUGCUUUUAUGGUGGCGGAGGCGUCUGAGGAUAACUUCUUUGUCCAAGGCCCUGGAGGAGGGCUUCGAUGAUGAUUUUAAGUGAAGCUGGGUGCUGACAGGAC